AUGAACGCUGGCGGCGUGCCUAAUACAUGCAAGUCGCGCGAACAGACGAGGAGCUUGCUCCUCUGACGUUAGCGGCGGACGGGUGAGUAACACGUGGAUAACCUACCUAUAAGACUGGGAUAACUUCGGGAAACCGGAGCUAAUACCGGAUAAUAUAUUGAACCGCAUGGUUCAAUAGUGAAAGACGGUUUUGCUGUCACUUAUAGAUGGAUCCGCGCCGCAUUAGCUAGUUGGUAAGGUAACGGCUUACCAAGGCAACGAUGCGUAGCCGACCUGAGAGGGUGAUCGGCCACACUGGAACUGAGACACGGUCCAGACUCCUACGGGAGGCAGCAGUAGGGAAUCUUCCGCAAUGGGAGAAAGCCUGACGGAGCAACGCCGCGUGAGUGAUGAAGGUCUUCGGAUCGUAAAACUCUGUUAUUAGGGAAGAACAAAUGUGUAAGUAACUAUGCACGUCUUGACGGUACCUAAUCAGAAAGCCACGGCUAACUACGUG
rnacentral:rRNA from 1 species